AACGAACGCUGGCGGCAGGCCUAACACAUGCAAGUCGAACGAAGUCUUCGGACUUAGUGGCGGACGGGUGAGUAACACGUGGGAACGUGCCUUUAGGUUCGGAAUAACUCAGGGAAACUUGUGCUAAUACCGAAUGUGCCCUUCGGGGGAAAGAUUUCUCGCCUUUAGAGCGGCCCGCGUCUGAUUAGCUAGUUGGUGAGGUAAAGGCUCACCAAGGCUACGAUCAGUAGCUGGUCUGAGAGGAUGACCAGCCACAUUGGGACGUGAGAAACGGCCCAAACUCCUACGGGAGGCAGCAGUGGGGAAUCUUGCGCAAUGGGCGAAAGCCUGACGCAGCCAUGCCGCGUGGAUGAUGAAGGUCUUAGGAUUGUAAAAUCCUUUCACCGGUGAAGAUAAUGACUGUAGCCGGAGAAGAAGCCCCGGCUAACUUCGUGCCAGCCGCCGCGGUAACAC
rnacentral:rRNA from 1 species